GAUGAACGCUGGCGGCGUGCCUAAUACAUGCAAGUCGAGCGAACAGACGAGGAGCUUGCUCCUCUUACGUUAGCGGCGGACGGGUGAGUAACACGUGGAUAACCUACCUAUAAGACUGGGAUAACUUCGGGAAACCGGAGCUAAUACCGGAUAAUAUAUUGAACCGCAUGGUUCAAUAGUGAAAGAGGGUUUUUCUGUCUCUUAUAGAUGGAUCCCAGCCGUAUUAGCUAGUUGGUAAGGUAACGGCUUACCAAGGCAACGAUGCGUAGCCGACGUGGUGGGGUGAUCGGCCACACUGGAACGUGGACACGGUCCAUACUCCUACGGGAGGCAGCAGUAGGGAAUCUUCCGCAAUGGGCGGAAGCUUGACGGAGCAACGGCGCGUGAGUGAUGAAGGUCUUGGGUUCGUAAAACUCUGUUAUUAGGGAAGAACAAAUGUGUAAGUAACUAUGCACGUCUUGACGGUACCUAAUCAGAAAGCCACGGCUAACUACGUG
rnacentral:rRNA from 1 species